rnacentral:rRNA from 1 species
GACAAGGUUUCCGUAGGGUGAACCUGCGGAAGGAUCAUUA